rnacentral:rRNA from 1 species
UACGUAGGGGGCAAGCGUUGUCCGGAUUUAUUGGGCGUAAAGAGCGUGUAGGCGGCCUGAAAGGUCAGCUGUGAAAACUCGAGGCUCAACCUCGAGACGUCGGUUGAAACCAUCUGGCUAGAGUCCGGAAGAGGAGUGUGGAAUUCCCGGUGUAGCGGUGAAAUGCGCAGAUAUCCGGAAGAACACCUGUGGCGAAAGCGGCUCACUGGACCAUAACUGACGCUGAUGCACGAAAGCUAGGGGAGCAAACAGG